AUUGAAACACUGGUUCCUGUACAAUCACCGAAGUUAAGCAACGUCGAGUCUGGUCAUUACCAAGAUAGGUGACCGUCUGGGAAUAAUAUGUACUGUAAG